rnacentral:rRNA from 1 species
GUAGGUGGCAAGCGUUAUCCGGAAUUAUUGGGCGUAAAGCGCGCGCAGGCGGUUUCUUAAGUCUGAUGUGAAAGCCCACGGCUCAACCGUGGAGGGUCAUUGGAAACUGGGGAACUUGAGUGCAGAAGAGAAAAGCGGAAUUCCACGUGUAGCGGUGAAAUGCGUAGAGAUGUGGAGGAACACCAGUGGCGAAGGCGGCUUUUUGGUCUGUAACUGACGCUGAGGCGCGAAAGCGUGGGGAGCAAACAGGGAUUAGAUACCCUGGUAGUCCACGCCGUAAACGAUGAGUGCUAAGUGUUAGAGGGUUUCCGCCCCUUUAGUGCUGCAGCUAACGCAUUAAGCACUCCGCCUGGGAGUACGGUCGCAAGACUG